rnacentral:rRNA from 1 species
ACACAUGCAAGUCGAGGGGCAGCAUGGUCUUAGCUUGCUAAGGCCGAUGGCGACCGGCGCACGGGUGAGUAACGCGUAUCCAACCUGCCUUACACUCUUGGACAGCCUUCUGAAAGGGAGAUUAAUACAAGAUGUUAUCAUGAGUAAGCAUUUUCGCAUGAUUAAAGGUUUACCGGUGUAAGAUGGGGAUGCGUUCCAUUAGAUAGUAGGCGGGGUAACGGCCCACCUAGUCUUCGAUGGAUAGGGGUUCUGAGAGGAAGGUCCCCCACAUUGGAACUGAGACACGGUCCAAACUCCUACGGGAGGCAGCAGUGAGGAAUAUUGGUCAAUGGACGAGAGUCUGAACCAGCCAAGUAGCGUGAAGGAUGAAGGUUCUAUGGAUUGUAAACUUCUUUUAUACGGGAAUAAACGGAUCCACGUGUGGAUUUUUGCAUGUACCGUAUGAAUAAGGAUCGGCUAACUCCGUGCCAGCAGCCGCGGUAAUACGGAGGAUCCGAGCGUUAUCCGGACUUAUUGGGUUUAAAGGGAGCGUAGAUGGGUUGUUAAGUCAGUUGUGAAAGUUUGCGGCUCAACCGUAAAAUUGCAAUUGAUACUGGCAGUCUUGAGUACAGUUGAGGUAGG